rnacentral:rRNA from 1 species
CUACAGGCUUAACACAUGCAAGUCGAGGGGCAUCAGGAAGAAAGCUUGCUUUCUUUGCUGGCGACCGGCGCACGGGUGAGUAACACGUAUCCAACCUGCCCUUUACUCGGGGAUAGCCUUUCGAAAGAAAGAUUAAUACCCGAUAGCAUAAUGAUUCCGCAUGGUUUCAUUAUUAAAGGAUUCCGGUAAAGGAUGGGGAUGCGUUCCAUUAGGUUGUUGGUGAGGUAACGGCUCACCAAGCCUUCGAUGGAUAGGGGUUCUGAGAGGAAGGUCCCCCACGUUGGAACUGAGACACGGUCCAAACUCCUACGGGAGGCAGCAGUGAGGAAUAUUGGUCAAUGGGCGCUAGCCUGAACCAGCCAAGUAGCGUGAAGGAUGAAGGCUCUAUGGGUCGUAAACUUCUUUUAUAUAAGAAUAAAGUGCAGUAUGUAUACUGUUUUGUAUGUAUUAUAUGAAUAAGGAUCGGCUAACUCCGUGCCAGCAGCCGCGGUAAUACGGAGGAUCCGAGCGUUAUCCGGAUUUAUUGGGUUUAAAGGGAGCGUAGGUGGACUGGUAAGUCAGUUGUGAAAGUUUGCGGCUCAACCGUAAAAUUGCAGUUGAUACUGUCAGUCUUGAGUACAGUAGAGGUGGGCGGAAUUCGUGGUGUAGCGGUGAAAUGCUUAGAUAUCACGAAGAACUCCGAUUGCGAAGGCAGCUCACUGGACUGCAACUGACACUGAUGCUCGAAAGUGUGGGUAUCAAACAGGAUUAGAUACCCUGGUAGUCCACACAGUAAACGAUGAAUACUCGCUGUUUGCGAUAUACAGUAAGCGGCCAAGCGAAAGCAUUAAGUAUUCCACCUGGGGAGUACGCCGGCAACGGUGAAACUCAAAGGAAUUGACGGGGGCCCGCACAAGCGGAGGAACAUGUGGUUUAAUUCGAUGAUACGCGAGGAACCUUACCCGGGCUUAAAUUGCAGUGGAAUGAUGUGGAAACAUGUCAGUGAGCAAUCACCGCUGUGAAGGUGCUGCAUGGUUGUCGUCAGCUCGUGCCGUGAGGUGUCGGCUUAAGUGCCAUAACGAGCGCAACCCUUAUCUUUAGUUACUAACAGGUUAUGCUGAGGACUCUGGAGAGACUGCCGUCGUAAGAUGUGAGGAAGGUGGGGAUGACGUCAAAUCAGCACGGCCCUUACGUCCGGGGCUACACACGUGUUACAAUGGGGGGUACAGAAGGCAGCUAGCGGGUGACCGUAUGCUAAUCCCAAAAGCCUCUCUCAGUUCGGAUCGAAGUCUGCAACCCGACUUCGUGAAGCUGGAUUCGCUAGUAAUCGCGCAUCAGCCACGGCGCGGUGAAUACGUUCCCGGGCCUUGUACACACCGCCCGUCAAGCCAUGGGAGCCGGGGGUACCUGAAGUACGUAACCGCAAGGAUCGUCCUAGGGUAAAACUGGUGACUGGGGCUAAGUCAU